CGGGGCCGGGGCACUGUCUGAGA
rnacentral:miRNA from 1 species